GACGAACGCUGGCGGCGUGCCUAAUACAUGCAAGUCGAACGCAGUGGGGACGGGUGCGUACCACGUGGCUAACCUCCCAUCAGAGGGGAUAACACUUGGAAACAGGCGCUAAACCCAUACUGAUGGAUGGACCUGCGGUGCAUUAGCUAGUGGGUGGGGUAACGGCUAAGCAAGGCCACGAUGCAUAGCCGGCCUGAGAGGGUGACCGGCCACACUGGGACUGAGACACGGCCCAGACUCCUACGGGAGGCAGCAGUAGGGAAUCUUCGGCAAUGGACGAAAGUCCGACCGAGCAACGCCGCGUGAGUGAAGAAGGUUUUCGGAUCGUAAAGCUCUGUUGUUAGAGAAGCGGUAUCUAACCAGAAAGCCACGGCUAACUACGUGCCAGCCGCCGCGGUAAUAC
rnacentral:rRNA from 1 species